AAUUAAACCUGAUUGAAACGAACACGAAUCCCGAUUUUUUUUAAUCGGGUGAGUAAUUGUAAAACAGGGCUUUCG
rnacentral:sRNA from 1 species